GGUUUUAUGGUGUAAUAGGUAUCACAGCGGACUCUGAAUCCGCUAUUGCGAGUUCGAGUCUCGCUAAAACCA
rnacentral:tRNA from 1 species